UCCUUAAUCCUGUAUAAGUAUCUAUGAUCUAUCCAGUGAAUAACCGAUGUGGGACUAAACACACGCCCGCAUGGAUCCUCACAUACUCCCUCUGUUUAAGCCCUAACGUUCUCGACAAAGCUAAGGAUUCAAAUCCAUUCAAAUCUAAUCACAAGCACCACGAUCGACCUAUGGUUAGCCCAAUGGAUCUGUGUUGCAGUGUCCCCUAGUCCACAUAGAUUAUGGGCCCAGUCCGCUCUGAUACCAAUUGCAACAACGCAGAAUUUCAUCCAAAAAAGCUAGCCGAAAGAUAUUAUUUAGGUUCCUAGGUGAUCCUGUAUAAGUACCCGAGACCUACCUAGUGAAUAUCCGAUGUGAGACUAAACACACGCUCGCACGAGUCCUCAUAGAAGCUAUGAAAAAUGGAGACCAUUCGAAUGGUCGACAAAAAUGUAAAACGUGCUAAUAUAUUUAUCUAUUACUAUAUUUGUUUAAUCCAUAUUCAGCUAAAUUCAGAUAUAAAUAAUAGAAGUGAAUUGGAUUUAGAUAUGAACAGACAUGAGAGUGACUACGAUCCGAGAAAAUUAUACAAGAGAACCAUUAACCAAAAGAAGUCCAUGAGAUGACCUUUCAAAAAAAGACAAACAAGGAAGAGAGUACCCACAUUGACAUCUCUCUCUCUCUCUCUUCACUUCAAUUGCUUCAAGGCAUGAUCCACAAUCAAAAGCUCCGAAGAUGUAAAAAGAGAAAUCAUCUCU
rnacentral:lncRNA from 1 species